rnacentral:rRNA from 1 species
UACGGAGGGUGCGAGCGUUGUCCGGAAUCAUUGGGCGUAAAGCGCGUGUAGGCGGCCAGGUAAGUCCGUUCUGAAAGCCCGGGGCUCAACCCCGGGAGGCGGAUGGAUACUGCUUGGCUCGAGUCCGGAAGAGGCGAGUGGAAUUCCCGGUGUAGCGGUGAAAUGCGCAGAUAUCGGGAGGAACACCAAUGGCGAAGGCAGCUCGCUGGGACGGUACUGACGCUGAGGAGCGAAAGCGUGGGGAGCAAACAGG